rnacentral:rRNA from 1 species
AUUGAACGCUGGCGGCAUGCCUUACACAUGCAAGUCGAACGGUAACAGGUCUUCGGAUGCUGACGAGUGGCGAACGGGUGAGUAAUACAUCGGAACGUGCCCGAUCGUGGGGGAUAACGAAGCGAAAGCUUUGCUAAUACCGCAUAAGAUCUACGGAUGAAAGCAGGGGACCGCAAGGCCUUGCGCGAACGGAGCGGCCGAUGGCAGAUUAGGUAGUUGGGGGGAUAAAAGCUUACCAAGCCGACGAGCUGUAGCUGGUCUGAGAGGACGACCGGCCACACUGGGACUGGGACACGGCCCAGACUCCUGCGGGAGGCAGCAGUGGGGAAUUUUGGACAAUGGGCGAAAGCCUGAUCCAGCCAUGCCGCGUGCAGGAUGAAGGCCUUCGGGUUGUAAACUGCUUUUGUACGGAACGAAAAGACUCUUUCUAAUAAAGAGGGUCCAUGACGGUACCGUAAGAAUAAGCACCGGCUAACUACGUGCCAGCCGCCGCAGUAA